UUUUGACCUCGAAUCAGGUGGGACUACCCGCUGAACUUAAGCAUAUCAAUAAGCGGAGGAAAAGAAACUAACAAGGAUUCCCUUAGUAACUGCGAGUGAAGUGGGAUGAGCUCAAAUUUAAAAUCUGGUAGUCUCUGGCUGCCCGAGUUGUAAUCUAGAGAAGUGUUUUCUGUGCUGGACUGCAUUCAAGUUUCCUGGAUAUGGAACAUCAUAGAGGGUGAGAAUCCCGUCUU
rnacentral:rRNA from 1 species